rnacentral:rRNA from 1 species
UACGAAGGGGGCUAGCGUUGCUCGGAAUCACUGGGCGUAAAGGGUGCGUAGGCGGGUUUUUAAGUCAGGGGUGAAAUCCUGGGCUCAACUCCAGAACUGCCUUUGAUACUGGAAGUCUUGAGUUCGAGAGAGGUGAGUGGAACUGCGAGUGUAGAGGUGAAAUUCGUAGAUAUUGGGAAGAACACCGGUGGCGAAGGCGGCUCACUGGCUCGUUACUGACGCUCAGGCACGACAGCGUGGGGAUCAAACAGG